rnacentral:sRNA from 1 species
AAAUCUCUCUACACAUUGAGCUGAUUUGGAUACCUUCUGUUGUUUGGCCGCCCUGGAAACCAUUUCUCUUUCCUAGAACCAUCCAUGCUUGGCAUGUUUAUGUCCCAUGUUUAUUCUGUUUGUACCAUGUAAGAGAUAAGGCCUUCCAGAUGUGGCAGAUGAUGGGUAUAUCCAGAUGUUUUCAGACAUCGAGACUCCCAUGCAGACAUCCGUGAAGUCUGUGUUAUGCUCAUUCCCUGAGAGACUUAGUAUAUAUUCCAGAUUUUUCUGCAACUCGUCUUUUUAAAAGCCAUGUCCCCUUCAGCUUGUUUGUCUCCCCUGUCACAAUAAUCCAUCAAACAGACUCUGUGGAAAAAUACAAUCUGCUCCUAUGUGAUGACAUCAAAACUAGUUCCUCACAGGAUCAGAUACUGGAGAGAUAUGUUUGGCGCACAGGGUGACCAACUGGUCAUACUUUCCUAACCCCUCUCUGGCUUGGCUUUAGUAUUCAAAGUAUACUAUUCAGGGAAGCCCCUCAGUUCUGGGAGAAUCCAAGUCUUGGUUACCCUCGUGUGUUCAUCUAUAUCAUGGAUGUCAGAAACACACACUCUUCACUUUCCCUCCUCUGUCAUCUCCAUGGGAGGGAGAACAAGUUAUGGAGUUGAUGAGCCCAUGCGAGACACUGUUGGGUCAUACCUCAUUAGUAGAUGAAAUAUCUGUGUGUUUCCCAUGGCUUCAUCAUGUCCUGUUUUAAUGCAGUACGUGGAUAAGACAGAGCUGGCCUUUGGGAAUUAGCCCAAUCACUAAUAGAUACUAAAAAUACAAGUUCAUAUACAGGGAAGAAAGACCAAAGUGAGAUGCUAAAAGAAAAAAAAAUUUUUCUGGCUGCAGUGAGAAUAUACUCCCUACUUUCCCACCCUUGGCUUGGUAAUAAGUUGAUACAUCUUUACUAGCAUCGACUGAAUAUAAUUUCUGGCACAUAUUGGGGUUGAGUCCCUCCUCUGUCAUACCCUUGUAAUUGUGAGUUAGACUAAUGAUAGCUAACUCUGCACCAAGGAUGUUUUUUUUAGACAGAUGCAAUGUAGAAAGAAAUAUAGUCCACACCCACGGCUUAAGAAUGGUCUAGAAGGGAAAUAGGUUAAGAGUUAUCUGAAGCAAAAAGAUUAAAGCUUGAGAGAUGAUGGUACGUUUAGGUAAGAGCAGAGACUUAUGUUUAAACAAACGCUGUGGGACAAUGUUGUGGCAGAUGACCGGAAGAAAGGCUGAGAACACAAGGAUUCAGGAGCAGUUCAAAGCUGUUGAAGAUUCUUCAGAAGAGUCCCACCAUUUAAAGACUCGCACUCUGUCCCAUAGGUGGCGCAGCUGACAUGGACUGGAGGUAUCUUUUCAGUGAGCAUCACUCAUUAAUAGUGUGAGAAGAUUGGAGAUGAUGAUGGAGAUCUGCAUAUUGGUACACCUCUCCAACCUCACAAGAGAAGCCGCUUUAUACCGUAGAUGGCAAUUAACACCAUUGGUCGUUUUCCCUCCUGCAUCGGUAUGCUAUUUCUCCUUUAGAGAAAUGAUGGCUGCUCUUCAAGUCUCUUUAAGUUAAGCUGGCUUAUGACUGCUCCCAGCGAUGACAGGUAGCAGAAGUGAUACUGGCACACGGACCUUGUUUUUAAGAUAAUGGGCAUUCUUCCCGAGGUUCCUGAAAUACUCCGUCUGGGGGAAGUUGGCUAUGAUAGAAGACAUCUGAUUGCUCUGAGCCUCCAUGCUUUAAGGAAGCCCAUGAGGUGCACGGGGAGAGAACGACAUUAGCUUGCUCCAGAUGUUUGAGUCUUUUCAGCCCAGGAAUCAGAUGCAAACACUGGACCCACUUGGCCAUUUCUUCCCAGCAGAUGCUACCUGAGAGAGAACUGAAGUGCCAGACAUAGAGCCCAAGGGGAGCUGUCAUAGCCAUUUCUGGCCACUCAGAACAUCCCAGCAUGGUGAAGUAGAAGCAAACAUCUUUUGUACUCUGUCCAAACUCCUGGUCCACCAAACCGUGAACAAAAUACCGUGCCUGCUAUUUUUCUUGCUACUAAAUCGUGAUGUGGUAAAGAGAUUGGCUACUUGCUUCUCCUCUUCUGGCAUGACUGCAUUAACUACUUUGCCAUUUGUUUCUGUAAAAUCCAAUCCCUGCACCAUGUUGUCCUUGACCAGUGGAACCUCUUUGCAUCUCUUGCAAAUGAACAUCUUACCUAGGUUUCUCGUCUCAUCUACAAAUCACCCUCAGUACCUAGGAAACCAACAUGGCCCAAAUACCUUCCUGUUUAACUGGGAAAUAAGUUACACUAAAUAUAGAAAGCCUGUGGCUCUCAGAGCAAGUGAAGAAACUGGCUCUCCAUGACUACAUGGACCAGCCUGUGUAACAAGUUAUCAUUGUCAACAGUACUCCCUCAGAUAAGCCACACCUCCAUGUCCACAUGUGCAGACAAGCAGACAGGUGAGAACCGAUCUGUUAAAAAUGUUGCUUUGCUCGUUCUCUUUUCUCUCCUGCUUGGCAGAGCCAGGUAGCAGCCAAACCAAGAUUUCCCCCUACUAGAUACUGCAGCCCAACAAGUAAAAGGCUAUGAAUGGUCUGUUGGCCAGUGAGAUCUCACAAACCCUCAAACAUUACAGGUCGCUGCCAAUGUUUUUUGUUAUCCCCCAGAACUUGACAAUAAGAGCCUCUCACUGAAGGCGCCAUACAUUAUACUAAUGGAACAAGGAACCAUCACGUUGGUUCUGAUACAGACACUUCAUUCCCACUGGAUAGUUUAUAGGGUGCUGGAAGGCACUGUGCACACCACCAGGGUAAAGGGAUUGCCAGUGUUACCCAGCUGUGACCUCUCUGGUCCACAAUAAUUACUGGCCUAGCAAGAAAUGCCUCUUUGUGCAAUAGUGGCAUGACUGUCAUAGGAGUAACUACUUUUUGAUUGACUUAAGGUCCAAGCCAUAAUGUUAAAUGCCUAUGUGUCACCAUUAGCAGUGUUAGGACCUGUGGGUAGACAGGGUCUAUAACCUGGGGGGAGACCUCUCACUAGUAUUCUGUUCAAUAGAUAUAGAAGUAAAUUCUGAUGAUUAACUAUUACACCUGUAGAUUAGUGCACCUCCCAACUCUUGUCAGAGACUUCUUAAAACAGUUGAUGGUGACCAAUCCAGAGACCCAUACUGGUUCAAUUGCAAAGGAUGGAAAAUAGUAGAAUGCUUUCGUCUAAAUUUGACAUCCAUAAUAUAUCCCUUCUUCCCUAAAAGCCUCGGAGAUCAUUGCAAAAGAGAGGUUGGAAGAUGGUAAGAAUCAGGCAUUUUGAGCCUCAGUUUCUUUAACCUGCACAGCACAACUGCUUCUAAUAUUACACAGAACGAGGCAUUCGAAGUGCUUUGGCCAGUAAUUACUCAGAAAACGCUAGCCAGUAAAAUUAUCUGCGUUUUUUAAUUUAUCCAGCUUACAACUUUGAGCUCAGGAGAUAGAAAGAAAAAAUCCGUAAGACUUGGUUUAUUCUGCUACCUAGCAACGACGUAUUUACAUUUCCAGCAUCUUUUCUUUCUCCCUGAUUACUGCGAGAAGCACUUUCUGCGUGCCCUGUUAUAAUUCAGGACCACCUGUGAAGUAUGGAGGACUCUUCUCUUUCCUUCUGGAGAUGCAGCGGCCUAGCAUAAAUUGUCAGCUUUGUUGCUUCACUGAAGUCCUUUUGAAAGGAUAUUGGGGGGAAUGGCUGCACCAGCGUACAAUGACAGUGACAGUCUGUCAAUGACAAACUGUUGUUCAUAUAACUGCAGUGGAAAAGAUGAUGCCGUGAUGGGAGGCCAGGACUCAGCACAAGGCAAGGACACCUGGCCCUAGGAUUAUGCAGCUUUCAGAAAGGAAAACCUCCUUGGAAUGUGAACUUAACUUGGCCACAGAUGUGAGCUCACCCCCUUUCCUUAGUAAAUUCCAACUCCCAGUGCAGUCUUAUCUCAGGCCAUAUGCUUUUAGCAGAGCGCACUGGUCUCUGAGUCUUCAAUGCGUCAAGCACACCUAAGCUGUUGUAUCUUUCAUCUGGCUUAAGUUCUCUCUUACAUGGAGUUUAAAUGAGCAGCUGCUAACUCGGGCAGAAUUAAUUACCUGUUGAACUUCUGAUUGGCAUUUCUGGGACCCUAUACAUGCCUUUCCUCUAUGACUUACCAUAUUUAUUGAAACGAAUCCACUUACCAGUCUCCUCCUGGAGGAGACUAAUACCCUUGAAGGCAGAGACCGUGUCUUAUUUAUCUUAUUAUCCCUAUAAUAUUUCCCCUAUAGUCGACAUUCAAUGAAUAUUUAAAGGAACACCUCAGUUACUCCCAUAACGAGGAGAUGAAAAGGAUAAUUCAAUUUGAGAAGGUUCUAUUUGUGCAAAAAUCAGAUUGGGGACAGGGGGACGUAUGUGGAAAUUACAAGAAGACACGCCACUAAUGACUAUACAGUAUACACGGCAUUUCAGUCCUUUGAAUGAAACCAUUGUACACCAGGGUCACAACUCCCAAACUACUCACGAUUUCAUUGGUGACUUAAUGACUGAUCUGUAGAAAAGGCCCCCGUCCCCACCAGACCAAAUUCUCCACUUUUAGUAAGAGAAGGCUGAAUCAGACAUUAUCUUGGACACUUCUUAAUUUUUACUGUUCAUUGUGUUACAUUCAUUUUUGUUCAAAAUUCUUCUGAGCAACUUGUCCCAAUCUAACGGCAUCCUGUUUGUAAUGGACAAUUUGUUCACUUCCUUAAGGGAUACUUACAUUCCCAAUUCUUUCUUCCAAAGAGCAAACAGUUCCCCCCAACUCUGGGUUUCCAGGAGUUUAAUAAGCGUGUCCUUUAUCUGUCAGUCAAGUGGAUGAUUGCAAAAUAUUCAAUAAUCCCUGUAAAAUAUUCAAUAAAACUGGAGGUGGCAAGCUUGUAACAUUCAAUUCUUCUCCCAGAUUCAAUUUAAUCCUGGAGCAACCAGAAAAGAUAAUUGCUCCUGCACAGAAUUUUUGCACCUCUCUUUUGCAUUCCUCAGCAGGAGGCGGCUUUCCGCCCUGUGACUCAUUGUUGCUUCACCUUGGAAAUUUCUGCUCCUUCAAUCCUGACUUAGAUUUUUUUUUCACUGUUCAAGUAAACUGGAGAGGAAAAUCCUACUUGGUUGAGAGAGAACCCUUGAACUGUGGAUCCUUGGUUGUAUU